rnacentral:misc_RNA from 1 species
UCUAAUUCUUGUUUAACUGACCCCAGAUGCCAAUCUUAUUGCUACAGUUCUUGACAUUUUUGCUAGAGAAGAGAGAAAUUAAUUAAGAUGGCGAGAGUGCUUGCUGAUAUGAUGAUGGUGGGAGUUUUGACAGAACAACAUUUACAAUGAUCCAACAAACUCUCUACAACUCAACAUUCUCAUUGAAGAAAUUGAAAGGAAACAAGGAAAUAAAAUUUGUGAAGCCCCCUGGAUUCAAUCCCCUUGCAGAAGAAACUCUUCCCCUUUAUUGAAAAGAAAUUCUCUCCAUAUCCCAUAUUGUCAUUCCUGUACCCCUUUUAUAACCUAAUCUCUCCACACGCCUUCUUACACUAAUUUCCAAGUCUUCCUCUAUCAACCAUCUUCACAAAUCUUCUGUUAGUAACAGACUAUCGUUUCUUCCCCUUCCAUUCUGUUAGAGCUCAUUUUCCCUCUUCUGGAAUAGACUUUAAAUGCUCUAGGGUCUGGCUCUUUGUCAAUCCCCUUAUCAUUUUCUCUGUAAGCAAACAAGUUGUAUAAUUUCCACAAGUCAAGAAGAAACAGAAUCAAAAUAGGAAUUUAGUCCAAGAGCCCAAAAAUGGAAAAACAGCAAUCAACAACCUAAGCAGAAGUGGUGUAUCCCUUAUUAUUCUCGUCCGACUCAUUUUGCCUUUGGUUUGUUGCUUUGGGAGCUCAUCUGCCUUUUGUCUUGGCGUCCCCCGGGGAACCUUAUAAGUGGCAUCUAGCUCAUCCCAUCCACCAAACUUACGCACUCUUUUGCCACUGUUUUUAUAUGAAACACGAUCAGCUGCCAUCCACGAUUGAUAACUUCCUUUUUCCUCUUGAGACUUAUUUUCUUCUCGUCUCCUGCUUGUUUCUCCCCUUUUGAAUUUGGAUGAUCUAACAAAUGUUUUCUUCUUAGUCCUUCCGGUUUCAGUUUUGGGUCUAGGCCUGCUGACCUUAUCCAUCAGUGCAGAGAGUGCUGUCUGUCCUAGUGGAACAGCUAAUGCCAUUAAGAAAGCACUAGGGCCUGUUCCCAGCAGCAAUGAUAUACCAAUGGCGGGAACCAUCCAACCAAAAGCUCUAAUCACCUUGAAAAUCCAGAAGUCAUCCUCCUCAUCAUCAUCGACCCAUAUAUCCUCGUCGUCAUUAGACCACCAGAUUCUCUGCUUCUCACCACCACUGAACCCAAACUCAUCGUAGUCAUCAUCACCGUCGGUGUAAAGCUCAUCUUGGAGAUUAAUUUUGACGCGGCCAGCUGAUGAUGAAGUACACCACGAGUUCUUGGGGACAGUAGUGGCAAUUGGCCAAGUAGUAUCAGCGAAUUUGUUAGGUUUUAGAAGUGGCUGUGAUGGUGGCGUAGUGAAGGAGAGCUGAAGGAGGAGGUAAGUUCCCAUUUGUGGGAUUAUUGUUUAAUCGAUCAUGUUCUUUGUUGAAAGCUUUUGGAUUAUUGGCCGUAAA